rnacentral:rRNA from 1 species
UACGUAGGGGGCAAGCGUUGUCCGGAAUCAUUGGGCGUAAAGAGCGCGUAGGCGGCCCGAUAAGUCCGCUGUGAAAGUCAAGGGCUCAACCCUUGAAUGCCGGUGGAUACUGUCGGGCUAGAGUCCGGAAGAGGCGAGUGGAAUUCCUGGUGUAGCGGUGGAAUGCGCAGAUAUCAGGAGGAACACCAAUAGCGAAGGCAGCUCGCUGGGACGGUACUGACGCUAAGGCGCGAAAGCGUGGGGAGCGAACAGG